GACGAGUGGCGGACGGGUGAGUACUGUCUGGGGAUCUGCCCGAUAGAGGGGGAUAACCACUGGAAACGGUGGCUAAUACCGUAUAAUGUCGCAAGACCAAAGAGGGGGACCUUCGGGCCUCUCACUAUCGGAUGAACCCAUAUGGGAUUAUCUAAUAGGCGGGGUAGUGGCCCACCUAGGCGACGAUCCCUAUCUGGUCUGAGAGGAUGACCACCCACAGUGGAACUGAGACACGGUCCACACUCCUACGGGAGGCAGCAGUGGGGAAUAUUGCACAAUGGGCGCAAGCCUGAUGCACCCAUGCCGUGUGUAUGAAAAAGGCCUUCGGGUUGUAAAGUACUUUCAGCGGAGAAGAAGGCGGUGCGGUUAAUAACCGUGUCUAUUGACGUUACCCGCAAAAGAAGCACCGGAUAACUCCGUGCCAGCAGCCGGGGUAAUACGGAGGGUGCAAGCGUUAAUCGGAAUUACUGGGCGUAAAGCGCACGCAGGCGGUCUGUUAACUCAUAUGUGAAAUCCCC
rnacentral:rRNA from 1 species